AUUCCCUCAGGAUGGCUCGACUUCGUUGCGGAUAUAUCCGGUAAAGCGCAUGAUUGGAGGAAUUAGGGUCGAAACGACCUUAACCUAUUGUCAAACUUUCGAUAGGUAUGUUGUCUCGGUUUCUUUAUGUUUCCCGAGAGAGUGUGAGGCCUGUGCGG
rnacentral:ncRNA from 1 species